CUGCCCAUGGCAGGGGGUGGCACUGGGUGAUCUUCAAGGUCCUUUCCACCCCAGCCCAUUGUGGGAUUCUCUGAUCUCUAUUCACAGGUGAUGUAAACUCAGACUAAACCAAGGAGGUUAAAACUUGAGUCAGCUUGGGUGAUUGAGCCAUGAAAAAGCAAGGAUGGAACAAAGGAGAUGGAAUUGUUGAAAUAAAGACACAGAGGUUUAACUGGCCGCUGUCUCCCAGCAAGGAGGGAGCUCUCCCCAAAGCAAGGCCUAAAGCUACACCCUCACCCUUUCCUACUAGUCCAGACUUAAAAUCAGAUUAGGGGCAGACGGAUGAAGGCGACUUAGGAGGAACACACGUGAUGCAGCUUUGUAAUCCCUCACGCAAGCACCAAGAAAUCCUCACUUGACUCCGACUCCUCUUCCUGCAAAGAGAAUAAGGAGCAGAAGAAAUGCAGCCAGGAAAAAAAAAAAACAACCCAGCAGGAUGAGAGUUAUGCAAACAUAUUAGAGCUGGGGGAAUCAGGGGUUGGCCGUCUUAAGGUUUGGAUAAAGACCUGAAGAAAAAGUUAAGUGUGACACAUUAUUAGAAAUGUGAAUAUUAUGGAAAGGAAGAACUGAAGGUGUUUGGAACUCUUCUCUCCUGUCUGUGUUAUCUCCCUUUCAUAAAGUAUUCUGUGAAUCAGCAUCCAGUCCUCGCAAGAAUUCCAAGUCACAAUCCAAAAGGGAAACCCUUGUAUUAACAAAUUCCUCACUCAAAUUCCAGCACACAACGAUGUCCCACAGGAUAUCGUGGCAGUGAGGAGUCCCCAGGAAUUCUGUGGAAUCAAAAUGAGUUUUAGAAGAGAUUUUCAAACAAAACCAUCCUACUUCUCUUCUUCUGAGAGUUGUUCUGCUCCCAGAGAAACGCAGAGGAGAAGAAACACUUGCUAAUGGAAGUGACAUGUUUUUGAGCCAUUUUCCAAGGUAAUGGAAAAAGUUAAGCAUAUUCCCUAGGAUGCACAUCAAUGACUAAGCUGCCAAUAUUAAACCAAUUGAAGCAAGUGCAGUCCCUAUUUAAACCUUGUAUAAAUUAAUUUAAGGACUCUCCUUCUCCUACAGGAAGACUAAAUUGUAGCAUCUAAUUUUCUUUUUUUUCUUUUUUUUUUUUUUAAAUCCUGAAGUCUCUAUCUUCUCUCUCUCUCUACUUAAUCUGCAAAAAGUCAAACAGGCUGAAGCCAAAGCCACAGAACGGAUUCUGUGCCAAGGUUCCUUCUGUUCCUGGUGAUCUCCUCAGUUCCCUCCUGUCCCAAAAAGGAAACAAAGGACUCCCAGUUUUCUGAAAACCAGAUUCUCUGCAUGACAGUGCAUUGCAUUGCCACAGGAUGGGCCACAGUGGAUGUUCUCCUAGCAAACAAAUCUCUACCAAGGUACAAAGAAUUAGAAAUUAACUCAGUAAAAAUGCUCCUAACUUUUUCCCAGUGGUAUAGUAACCAGAAUCCUACUCUCCUUCCACAAAAAAUAGAUUUUUUUUAUAAAUACAUUUUAAUACAGACAAUUUUGUUUCUAUGCCAAGAAAAAAAAAAAAAGAA